AUACGGAGGGGACUAGCGUUGUUCGGAAUUACUGGGCGUAAAGCGUACGUAGGCGGAUCAGAAAGUAUGGGGUGAAAUCCCAGGGCUCAACCCUGGAACUGCCUCAUAAACUCCUGGUCUUGAGUUCGAGAGAGGUGAGUGGAAUUCCGAGUGUAGAGGUGAAAUUCGUAGAUAUUCGGAGGAACACCAGUGGCGAAGGCGGCUCACUGGCUCGAUACUGACGCUGAGGUACGAAAGUGUGGGGAGCAAACAGGAUUAGAAACCCUAGUAGUCCC
rnacentral:rRNA from 1 species